rnacentral:rRNA from 1 species
UACAGAGGGUGCAAGCGUUAAUCGGAAUUACUGGGCGUAAAGCGCACGUAGGCGGUUUUUUAAGUCAGAUGUGAAAGCCCCGGGCUCAACCUGGGAAUUGCAUUUGAAACUGGAAAACUAGAGUGUGUGAGAGGGGGGUAGAAUUCCAAGUGUAGCGGUGAAAUGCGUAGAGAUUUGGAGGAAUACCAGUGGCGAAGGCGGCUCACUGGUCCGGUACUGACGCUGAGGUGCGAAAGCGUGGGGAGC